UGUGUGUGUGUGUGUGUGGGUGUGUAUGUGUGUGUGUGUGUGUGUGGGUGCACUUGCAUUUAUUACUUCGUGGGGCCCAGUGGCAAGGAGCACACCAACAGUGAGGGGCCCAGCGACAGUGUGGGGCCCAAAAUCGUGGGCCCCACACCGAUUUCAAUUUAUUUCAGCUCAGGAGACUCCCCUGAUAUGCCUCCCGCUUUUUCUUCACAUGGCCCACAAGGUAACAAAAACUGGAAAGUGUGUAAAAGUGUGUAACUUUUUUUGUGCUCGUGAGAGCCUCGGGUGGCACUUCGUGGUACUGCAGCCGAUACACACACUUCCUGAAGUGUGUAUCAUCUCAGCCAAUGGAACAAGAUGUGGGCGGGGCCUCCCUGCAAUAUGACACUCACUACGUCAUCUCCGUCUGUCGACUCCAGGCCUGCCAUGCUGUGCAAAACAGAGCCAUAAUGUCAAAAAGGAAGAACAGGAUACAGCCUGUUGAUGAUGAAACAUCAUAUAUUCUGUCUUCGAGGGACAAGCCGGGAUUUAUAGAAAGAUUUAUUAAUAGUAACAAAGGAAGAGGAGUGUUUGUGACCCAGCCCAUUGAACCAGGAGCUUUCCUCUUGGAAUACAGAGGUGAACUCAUGUCAGUUGAAGAAUGCCGGUCCAGACACUACUCGGAGAAACGAACAAACAAGCAGACUUCUCCUGUGGCAGCAGAGAUCGAGAUGUCCCCCAUAGAUGGUGCUUUACAUGAGAAUUCAAACAGGAUGAUGCUUGUGCACAGGUAACAAACAAGAUGGCUUCUGCUGUGGCAGUAGAGACUGAGAUGUCCCCCAUACAUGGUGCUUCACAUGAGGAUUCAGAUCAAGAUGAUGCUCAUGCACAGGUAACAAACAAGAUGGCUUCUGCUGUGGCAGUAGAGACUGAGAUGUCCCCCAUACAUGGUGCUUCACAUUAGGAUUCAGAUCAAGAUGAUGCUCAUGCACAGGUAACAAACAAGAUGGCUUCUGCUGUGGCAGUAGAGACUGAGAUGUCCCCCAUACAUGGUGCUUCACAUGAGGAUUCAGACCAAGAUGAUGCUCAUGCACAGGUAAUGUAGAUACUGUUGGUCUGCACACUAUGUAGUUCCA
ensembl:lncRNA